GACGAACGCUGGCGGCGUGCUUAACACAUGCAAGUCGAACGGAAAGGCCCUGCUUUUGCGGGGUGCUCGAGUGGCGAACGGGUGAGUAACACGCGAGUAACCUCCCCUUGUCUUUGGGAUAACUUCAGGAAACUGGGGCUAAUACCGGAUAGGAGCUCCUGCUGCAUGGUGGGGGAUGGUAAGUUUCGGCGGUUGGGGAUGGACUCGCGGCUUAUCAGCUUGUUUGUGGGGUAGUGGCUGACCAAGGCUUUGACGGGUAGCCGGCCUGAGAGGGUGACCGGCCACAUUGGGACUGAGAGACGGACCAGACGCCUACGGGAGGCAGCAGUGGGGAAUAUUGCACAAUGGGCGGAAGCCUGAUGCAGCAGCGCCGCGUGCGGGAUGACGGCCUUCGGGUUGUAAACCGCUGUCGCCUGUGACGAAGCGUGAGUGACGGUAAUGGGUAAAGAAGCACCGGCUAACUACGUG
rnacentral:rRNA from 1 species